rnacentral:rRNA from 1 species
GUCUACGGCCAUGCCACCCUGAACAAGCCCCAUCCCAUCUGAUCUCGGAAGCUAAGCAGGGUCGGGCCUGGUUAGUACUUGGAUGGGAGACCACCUAGGGAGACCAGGUGCUGUAGGCG